CUGUUCUGUUGCUGUGAUGAAAC
rnacentral:piRNA from 1 species